UGAACGCUGGCGGCGUGCCUAAUACAUGCAAGUCGAGCGAACAGACGAGGAGCUUGCUCCUCUGACGUUAGCGGCGGACGGGUGAGUAACACGUGGAUAACCUACCUAUAAGACUGGGAUAACUUCGGGAAACCGGAGCUAAUACCGGAUAAUAUAUUGAACCGCAUGGUUCAAUAGUGAAAGACGGUUUUGCUGUCACUUAAAGAUGGAUCCGCGCCGCAUUAGCUAGUUGGUAAGGUAACGGCUUACCAAGGCAACGAUGCGUAGCCGACCUGAGAGGGUGAUCGGCCACACUGGAACUGAGACACGGUCCAGACUCCUACGGGAGGCAGCAGUAGGGAAUCUUCCGCAAUGGGCGAAAGCCUGACGGAGCAACGCCGCGUGAGUGAUGAAGGUCUUCGGAUCGUAAAACUCUGUUAUUAGGGAAGAACAAAUGUGUAAGUAACUAUGCACGUCUUGACGGUACCUAAUCAGAAAGCCACGGCUAACUACGUG
rnacentral:rRNA from 1 species